UUAAUUGGACAAACAAAUGAAUAAUCGAUUAACCAGAUAAACGUCACUUACGUCACAACCCUUACCUACACAAUUCAACUCAAAAUUGUUCCAGAACUGUACCAAUGAAGACAAAAAUGGAUAACUAUUUCCUUCAAAAAUAAUAUUUUAUUAAAGCUUCCUAACUUAACAGUAGUCUACAACUGCACUGCCUCAAGUGCACAAAACCUGUUCAAGUGUUUAAAGGGGAACUGAAGAGCUUUUCAGAUUUCGCUCUUAAGUGUUUUACUCAGUUGAAUUGUAUUAAAUGCGUCAUUCGCUCUCUCAAAAAGUCACAUAAAAAAAAAAUAAUAAUAAUUGGCCGCGUAGUUUUUGAGUUAUGGCCAUAGCAACACCAUAGCAACGAGGGACGCGCCGUCCUGCCGACCCCUACCUCGUGACGUAACUUCCAGGAAGCCUCGCCACCACUCUGAACACGGAAAUAUAGCACCACGCUAUCCUCGCCAUAUAUUGCAAACAUUUUCUGGGUUUUACUCGCGGGAUUCGUCAUGCCAUCUCGAUGUGUAGCGAUAUGAAUUACUCACAGGAAGACUCGAGACUCUAGGAGUGGUCCAAAAAAAAACUUCUCCUGCAAAGCCACGACAGCUUUGAAAACCUUCAACAAUGCAACCUUGGUUUUCCAAAGACGAAGCCAAACAUAAAAAAUUAAGUGGCGGAAGCCCUCAACACGAUGAAAAAAGCAUUGCAAGUCAGUUGCCACCCAGUUUCCCAAAAUCAAGAGAGAGUGGGUCGAGUCAUAUGAUGACCGAAGUGAUGCGGUGUCCAGCGAUGACGACUGAAGAGAUCCUAUGAGGCCUGCCAGAUGCUGAAUUUCUUCCGUCUGCGACAUCAGAUGACGAUGAUUUAGGAGAAAUAAAUGUAGCAAAUUUUGAUGACAUGAAAUCAUAAACUAGUCAUAUAUACAGUACACAUUUUUUAAAAUCAAGUUACCUUCAUAUUUUAAUGAUAAUGCAUUAUCUUUGUAUAGAGAACACUUCAUGCUACAGAAAAGAGUAAAGACAUAUUUCCCACUGCCAUUAUCAUUUUUCAAUGUUGCGCUAGUCCGUCGCUAUCCUAACUUUGUGUUGCUUACUAAAAUUAUGCUCUUUGAUGUGUGCCGUUGUGUGCUUGGUAUAACAUGUUGUGUCACAAUCUGACAACGAAAGCUAAUGCAGAUUCAACAUAAACCUGGUAUCAUUUAUUAUUGCGGCCUAUUGAAUAUUUUUUCAAAAUGUAAUAUAAUUACAAUAUAUUAUAUACCAAUAGAAUACA